rnacentral:rRNA from 1 species
CAAUAGCGUAUAUUAAAGCUGUUGCGGUUAAAAAGCUCGUAGUUGGAUUUCUGUCAAGGACAACUGGUCCGCCCUCCGGGUGAGCACAUAGUUUGGUCUUGGCAUCUUGCUGGAAACUGUUGCUGCGCUUGGUUGUGUGGUGCAGCUUUCAGCACUUUCACUUUGAGGAAAUUGGAGUGUUUCAAGCAGGCACAUGCCUUUGGACACAGUAGCAUGGAAUAAUUAGAUUGGGCUUUUGCUCCAACUUGUUGGUUCCUGGAGCUGAGGUGAGAAUCAAUGGGGAUUGUUGGGGGCAUCCGAAUUUAGCCGUCAGAGGUGAAAUUCUUGGAUCUGCUAAAGACGGACAACUGCGAGAGCGUUUGCCCAGGAUGUUUUCAUUGA